AUUGCACGCUGGCGGCAGGCUUAACACAUGCAAGUCGAGCGAGCGGCGGACGGGUGAGUAAUGUCUGGGAAACUGCCCGAUGGAGGGGGAUAACUACUGGAAACGGUAGAUAAUACCGCAUACCAUCCGAUGUGCCCAGAUCGGAUGAGCUAGUAGGUGGGGUAACGGCUCAGCUAGGCGACGAUCCGUAGCUUGUCGGAGAGGAUGCCCAACCACACUGGAACAGUAACACGGUCAAGACCCCGAAGGGAGUCAGCGUUGGGGAAUAGUGCACAGAGGGCUCAAGCCUGAUGCGGCCAGGCCGCGUGUGUGAAGAAGGCCUUGGGGUUGUAGAGCACGUUCAGCGUGGAGGCGUUACUCGAAGAAGAAGCACCGGCUAACUCCGUGCCAGGCGCCGCGGUAAUAC
rnacentral:rRNA from 1 species